AUGGUUUCUCUGACAACCUGGAAAUUGGAAGAGGCAGAGCUUGAGAAUGGGACCAUCGCUGUAAAGAGGAUGUUCAACACACAUAUGCAUGAGAGGGAAUUCAACCGAGAGAUUGAAUGUCCAAUGCAAGUGAAGCACAAAAAUAUAGCACGUUUUUUGGGAUACUGUGCAGACACCCAAGGAAGGAUGGAGAUCUACAAUGGUCAAUUCGUCAUGGCAGAUGUACAACAAAGAUUGACCUGCUUUGAAUAUAUACCUAAUGGGAGUCUUGAUGAAUAUAUCAAAGAUCCGUCCAGUGGACUGGAAUGGAGAAAGCGGUAUAAGAUAAUCAAAGGGAUCUGUGAGGGGUUAAAUUAUCUUCACCAAAAAAAAAUAUUGCACUUAGAUUUAAAACCAACAAACAUAUUGCUGGAUGAAGAUAUGACGCCAAAAUUUAUCGAUUUUGGUUUAUCAAGGUGUUUGAAGGAAGGGGAAACGCGGGUCUUUACUUCAAACAUAGCUGGAACGAUCGGAUAUUUGGCACCGGAAUUCACUAGGGGUGUAAUCACAUACAAGUUUGACUUGUAUAGUCUUGGUGUUAUAAUUGGGGAGAUAUUGACCGGGCGGAAGGGGUACCAGACUGUUGAGGAAGUACUUGAAAGUUGGUGUAACUGGUCAGAUGAAUCACAGUUGGAACAAAUACGAGUAUGCGUUGGGAUUGGGAUGGAGUGCAUUGAAUACAACCCAGGGAAGAGACCAGAAAGUAUAAACCAUAUAAUUGAUAGGCUUUUAGUAACUGAAAGUACAAUGAUAAUUCCAGCAGGUGGACCAAGCGAGCUUCUUGUCCUUGAUAAGUUGGCACUCUCCUUCCCAUUCGAGCCAAACAUGGUUAUCACGUGCCCGCUGCAGCUAACAAACAACACUGAUAAACACGUGGCAUUUAGACUUAAGGAAAAUACUGGGAAGUCGUUCCUAAGGCUGCCAUUGUAUGGGAUUGUGACUCCAAGGUCCCUUUACACACUUGAUGUGACAAUGGAAGAGCAUAGAGAGCUGCCACAAAAGAGAAACAUGUAUAUGAUCCUCGAUAGUGCCACAAUAUUGGGGGAUGAUGUUGCCCACAUAUUUGAAAGCCAGCCAGACGAUUUUUUCAAGACAGAAAGAAAGACAGGGAAUGUUGUGCAGAUCAUACUGAAAGCAUUUUAUACUCUGCACCAUGAUACGAAAGAUCCAUCUAAGAUUGGAUCCAAAUCACACCAUCUGUCAUCCGGAGAUACGGGAUCCAAACCACUCGACCUGUCAUUUGAUCAUAUAGGAUCCAAACCAAACCAUCUGGCAUUUCAACAUUUGAAGGACAUAACAGACAACUUCUCUGACAAGCGAAUACUUGGUAAAGGUGGUUUUGGUGUCGUAUAUAAGGGAGUGCUACAAAGUGGGCAAGUGGUUGCAGUAAAGAAGCUUGUAAUGGGAAUGCCGACCUCAGAGAAGCAAUUUGAGAAUGAGGUUAAUCUUCUUAUGAAACUAGAGCACCCAAAUAUAGUGCAGCUAGUAGGCUACUGCUACGAAACAGUGCGAUUGCAUACGCCUCACGAAGGAGAGUUUGUUUUUGCUGAGAACACUGAAAGUUUGCUUUGUUUGGAAUGCCUGCCUAAUGGAAGUCUGGAUAAAUACAUUUCAGAUGCAUCUUCUGGACUUGAUUGGCGCACACGGUGGAAAAUAAUUGAGGGGGUUUCCUUUGGUCUACAGUACCUUCAUGAGCAACCUAAAGGUCCCAUUGUUCAUUUGGACCUAAAACCUGCGAACAUACUGCUAGAUAAAAAUAUGGUACCGAAGAUUGCAGACUUUGGUCUGUCAAGAUUGUUUGAUGAAAAACAAAAUAUUUCGACUGCAUUACAUGGUGGGACAUUAGGUUACAUGCCGCCCGAAUUUACACGUGGUAAGCUCACGCUUAUGUCAGACAUAUUCAGUUUGGGUGUAAUAAUCUUGGAGGUAAUAACCGGACACAAGGAAUAUCCAUAUGAUAUUAGAACAGAGUCCAAGGAUUUCAUUGAGCAUGAGCUUCAAAAAUGGAGAAAUGUGCUGCAAGAAGAACCGACAUCAUCGACAUUGCUAGAUAUGGAUUCCCAUCAAAUAGAAAGAUGCAUUCAGAUAGGUCUAAUCUGCGUCAAUCUUGAACGGUCUAGGAGGCCUACAAUGAAGAAAAUUAUCGAUAUGCUGCAAGGGUCAGGAAGUAUAGAUUGGUACAUUACCAAUGAGCUAUCAUGCCAUGACAUCCAGGAGGAGCCAUAG
rnacentral:rRNA from 1 species